rnacentral:rRNA from 1 species
AUUGAACGCUGGCGGCAGGCCUAACACAUGCAAGUCGAACGGUAACAGGAAGCAGCUUGCUGCUUCGCUGACGAGUGGCGGACGGGUGAGUAAUGCCUGGGAAGCUGCCUGAUGGAGGGGGAUAACUACUGGAAACGGUAGCUAAUACCGCAUAAUGUCGCAAGACCAAAGAGGGGGACCUGCGGGACUCUUGCCAUCGGAUGUGCCCAGAUGGGUUUAGCUUGUUGGUGGGGUAACGGCUCACCAAGGCGACGAUCCCUAGCUGGUCUGAGAGGAUGACCAGCCACACUGGGACUGAGACACGGUCCAGACUCCUACGGGAGGCAGCAGUGGGGAAUAUUGCACAAUGGGCGCAAGCCUGAUGCAGCCAUGCCGCGUGUAUGAAGAAGGCCUUCGGCUUGUAAAGUACUUUCAGCGGGGAGGAAGGGAGUAAAGUUAAUACCUUUGCUCAUUGACGUUACCCGCAGAAGAAGCACCGGCUAACUCCGUG